AUUGAACGCUGGCGGCAGGCCUAACACAUGCAAGUCGAGCGGAUGAAGGGAGCUUGCUCCUGGAUUCAGCGGCGGACGGGUGAGUAAUGCCUAGGAAUCUGCCUGGUAGUGGGGGAUAACGUCCGGAAACGGGCGCUAAUACCGCAUACGUCCUGAGGGAGAAAGUGGGGGAUCUUCGGACCUCACGCUAUCAGAUGAGCCUAGGUCGGAUUAGCUAGUUGGUGGGGUAAAGGCCUACCAAGGCGACGAUCCGUAACUGGUCUGAGAGGAUGAUCAGUCACACUGGAACUGAGACACGGUCCAGACUCCUACGGGAGGCAGCAGUGGGGAAUAUUGGACAAUGGGCGAAAGCCUGAUCCAGCCAUGCCGCGUGUGUGAAGAAGGUCUUCGGAUUGAAAAGCACUUUAAGUUGGGAGGAAGGGCAGUAAGUUAAUACCUUGCUGUUUUGACGUUACCAACAGAAUAAGCACCGGCUAACCUCGUG
rnacentral:rRNA from 1 species